rnacentral:rRNA from 1 species
GACGAACGCUGGCGGCGUGCUUAACACAUGCAAGUCGAACGGAAAGGCCCUGCUUUUGUGGGGUGCUCGAGUGGCGAACGGGUGAGUAACACGUGAGUAACCUGCCCUUGACUUUGGGAUAACUUCAGGAAACUGGGGCUAAUACCGGAUAGGAGCUCCUGCUGCAUGGUGGGGGUUGGAAAGUUUCGGCGGUUGGGGAUGGACUCGCGGCUUAUCAGCUUGUUGGUGGGGUAGUGGCUUACCAAGGCUUUGACGGGUAGCCGGCCUGAGAGGGUGACCGGCCACAUUGGGACUGAGAUACGGCCCAGACUCCUACGGGAGGCAGCAGUGGGGAAUAUUGCACAAUGGGCGGAAGCCUGAUGCAGCAACGCCGCGUGCGGGAUGACGGCCUUCGGGUUGUAAACCGCUUUCGCCUGUGACGAAGCGUGAGUGACGGUAAUGGGUAAAGAAGCACCGGCUAACUACGUGCCAGCAGCCGCGGUGAUACGUAGGGUGCGAGCGUUGUCCGGAUUUAUUGGGCGUAAAGGGCUCGUAGGUGGUUGAUCGCGUCGGAAGUGUAAUCUUGGGGCUUAACCCUGAGCGUGCUUUCGAUACGGGUUGACUUGAGGAAGGUAGGGGAGAAUGGAAUUCCUGGUGGAGCGGUGGAAUGCGCAGAUAUCAGGAGGAACACCAGUGGCGAAGGCGGUUCUCUGGGCCUUUCCUGGCGCUGAGGAGCGAAAGCGUGGGGAGCGAACAGGCUUAGAUACCCUGGUAGUCCACGCUGUAAACGGUGGGUACUAGGUGUGGGGUCCAUUCCACGGGUUCCGUGCCGUAGCUAACGCUUUAAGUACCCCGCCUGGGGAGUACGGCCGCAAGGCUAAAACUCAAAGGAAUUGACGGGGCCCCGCACAAGCGGCGGAGCAUGCGGAUUAAUUCGAUGCAACGCGUAGAACCUUACCUGGGUUUGACAUGGAUCGGGAGUGCUCAGAGAUGGGUGUGCCUCUUUUGGGGUCGGUUCACAGGUGGUGCUUGGCUGUCGUCAGCUCGUGUCGUGAGAUGUUGGGUUAAGUCCCGCAACGAGCGCAACCCUUGUUCACUGUUGCCAGCACGUUAUGGUGGGGACUCAGUGGAGACCGCCGGGGUCAACUCGGGGGAAGGUGGGGAUGACGUCAAGUCAUCAUGCCCCUUAUGUCCAGGGCUUCACGCAUGCUACAAUGGCAGGUACAGAGAGUGGCGAGCCUGUGAGGGUGAGCGAAUCUCGGAAAGCCGGUCUCAGUUCGGAUUGGGGUCUGCAACUCGACCUCAUGAAGUCGGAGUCGCUAGUAAUCGCAGAUCAGCAACGCUGCGGUGAAUACGUUCCCGGG